GAGCGAGAGGAGAGAGAGCAGGAGAGAGAGAGAGAGAGAGGAGAGGAGAGAGAGAGAAGAGCAGAGAGAGCGAGAGGGAGAUGAGAGCAGCUCGCCGGCCCAUUGAGGAAAGAUGGCUACAGUCACUGCAAACGGAGUGCAGCAAGAGAAUGGAUUCAGCACCACGAACAGCGCCGGCAGGAUGAACGGGCUUACCAUCGGCCAGAACACCAUUCCAAUGAAGGACCACGACGCCAUCAAGCUUUUCAUCGGGCAGAUUCCCAGAAACCUGGAGGAAAAGGACCUGAAACCCCUGUUUGAGGAAUUCGGAAAGAUAUACGAACUCACUGUACUGAAAGACAGGUUUACGGGAAUGCAUAAAGGAUGUGCCUUUCUAACAUACUGUGCCAGAGAGUCAGCACUGAAGGCCCAGAGCGCCCUCCAUGAACAGAAGACUCUGCCAGGGAUGAACCGGCCCAUCCAGGUGAAGCCAGCCGACAGCGAAGGACGAGGAGAAGACAGGAAGCUGUUUGUGGGAAUGCUCGGCAAGCAGCAGAGCGAGGACGACGUCCGGCGGCUGUUCGAGACCUUCGGCCAGAUCGAGGAGUGCACCGUCCUGCGUGGGCCUGAUGGGGCCAGUAAGGGCUGCGCCUUUGUCAAGUUCUCCAGCCACGCAGAAGCGCAGGCAGCCAUCAACAGCUUGCAUGGUGGACAGACUAUGCCUGGUGCCUCGUCCAGUCUGGUGGUCAAAUUUGCAGACACUGAUAAGGAAAGGACUCUGCGCAGGAUGCACCAGAUGGCGGGCCAGCUCGGCAUCUUCAGUCCCAUGACCAUCCAGUUUGGGGCCUAUGGCGCCUACUCUCAUGCUGUAAGUCUCAGCCCGGCGGGGGAGGAGACGCAGAUGAUGCAACAGCAAGCAGCCCUGAUGGCAGCCACGCAAGGGUCCUACCUGAACCCCAUGGCAGCCAUUGCUGCCGCGCAAAUGCAGCAAAUGGCAGCUUUCAAUGUCAACGGCCUGGUGGCUACUCCCAUGACACCGUCCUCAGUAUAUCUAUUUGCAGGCACCAGCACACCCCCCGGCAUCUCUGCCACAGCCGUGCCCAGCAUAGCCACCCCUAUCGGGGUCAACGGAUUCAGUGCCCUCCCGCCUCAAAGCAAUGGGCAGUCCGCCUCUGAGCCCAUCUACACCAAUGGUAUCCACCCUUACCCAGCACAGAGUCCAACGGUGACCGACCCUCUCCAACAGGCUUAUGCUGGCGUCCAACACUACGCAGCAGCCUACCCUGCCGCCUAUGCGCCAAUCAGCCAAGCGUUCCCACAGCAACCAACCAUCAUUCCCCAGCAACAGAGGGAAGGGCCAGAAGGCUGCAACCUGUUUAUUUAUCACCUGCCCCAGGAGUUUGGAGAUGCAGAACUCAUGCAAAUGUUCCUGCCUUUUGGCAACGUCAUCUCUGCCAAAGUCUUUGUGGACCGAGCGACCAAUCAGAGCAAAUGUUUUGGCUUUGUGAGUUUUGAUAACCCAUCCAGUGCUCAAGCCGCUAUUCAGGCCAUGAACGGCUUUCAGAUAGGCAUGAAGAGGCUGAAGGUGCAGCUAAAGCGGCCAAAGGAUGCCAACCGACCUUACUGACUCGUCUGCUGUCCAUACCCAGUGUGAGGUGGCCUUUCUCCGCUAUAGCCACAUCCCCCUCCCCCACCCCCCCACCCACACACCUGUCAUGGGGCCAAGUUCCCACAGCUGAUGAAGGGCCACAACACCUUAUUUCCACAAGUGCAGUAAAAGUACAAAGACUUCUUGCUCUGCUACAUAUCAUGAAGGAAGCGUGGUCCCUUGAUCCUGCUGGAAACCCGCUGAAAGAUUGGGUGACUGAGAGAGGGAUCCCAGAGUUGUUUUUUUUUGUUUGUUUUGUUUUUUGUCUUCGCAAAUGCCUCUUUUUUCCGUUUUGCUUUGGCGUCUGUGAAAGAAGAUUUUUUGCAGAGACCAACUUUUUGCUGCUGUUUUUUAGACAUGAUGGGAAAAACAAACAAAAAAACCUUUAUAGAAACUCAUUAUGCUCAAAGCAUGCAUACUGACACAGGAUAUAGAUAAACACACAUAAACACAGAUAACAAACCAAACAUACACAUUUAGAUGCCACACUUAAAAAAAUGAAAAAUGAAAAAAAAAAAAACUACUUUGUACAUGUAUAAAUACUUGCAAAUGCCAACUCAAGUACUGACGCAAACACAUGCGUGCACACGCACGUACACACACAUACACACACAUACACACACAAACACACACACCAGCCUGCUGCCAUUUUGGUUUUUGUGCCUACACAGGUGUUGUGCUCUGUGACAGGGCAAGCUCUGGAUCAAAGAAGAAAAACGAAAAGAAGAAGAGAGAAGAGGAGAAUCCAGGAUAAUUUACAUGCAUCAUUCCUUAGGAAAUAGGGACCAAAGGACUAAACGCUUUUUAAAAGAAUAUAAAUAUAUAAAUAUAUAAAUAUAUAUUUAAAAACUCAUACCUUGUAGCUGCAAGUAUUACAAUUUACUCGUAGUCAAAAAAAUCAUUAAAAUCAAUAUCCAGUGGCCUACUGUAAGUAUGAAUAAAAGAAAAUGGAAAUAAUGUAUAAACAAAAAAGACAUGGCAUCAUAGUAUAGGGGCUAAUCUUUUGCUCUGGAUGCUGAUUUAGCACCAGGUUGUAGAAUAGUAGAGUAGAGUAGAAAAAAAUGUAGAUUUGCUAACUUUUGCUGUUGUUUAAAAAAAUACUUGAAGUCGUAAUGAAAAGGGGGCAAAAGGGGGUGGGGGUGGGGGGGGACUUUCAUCUGCCCCUGUACGCAACGAGUCUCUUUUUCUUGGAUGUUAAGGUAUCAGCCACUGGAUAUCUCGCUCAUCAUGAUGUAUAAGUCACCACACUCUCUGACAGCUAUGAACAGACUGUUCUGGAAGAAGAAGAAGAAGAAGAAGAAGAAGAAGAAGAAGAAAAAAAGAAUGACAAGAGAGAAAAAAAAGACAGAACUUACUCAUGUCUGUGCUGGACAGGGUGCAGACAUUUAAGGCUUCUCACAAGCCUUUUGUGUUCAAGCGACAAUCCACUGUAAAGACCAAGCAAAAUGGACAUUGGGGUGUCUUUUGUUUUUUUCUGGUUUUUUUCUUGACCUUUUGUAUUGCAACAAGGAGUGUGAAUCAUGAAGCCACAAAUUGUUAAAGGGUGAGGAUUCUACUAAGAGAGCUGGACAAAUGCACGGUCAUGAUGGUAACAGAAUGGGAGGAGUAAGGCGACAGCUACUGAAACUGCCAGCAGAAUGAACUCAGUAUACAAAUGAAAAAGGCCCCUAUGGCAUUAUGGAAUUCUGUCAAAAAACAAAGUAUGCCCGUAAACAACUAGGACUUAUAUAAGUGACAUGCCAAGGAAAUGUGUUUCCACUGGAGCUGCUGCAAAACUCCAGAUUGAGAUAAAUUGCCUCUUGUCUCUCGGCAGAUACAAACAAACAUUUCUUUGAAGACAAACUCGAUUUACAGUAUUGAUGGGAGAGGAGUGCAGGCUUUUAGAGCUCAUUUAGCUCUGUCAAAUAUAAUGUAAAUUCCACUAUUAACAUGUUCCCUGACCUCCUCCUUCAUAUAUUAUACAUACAGCCUACGGAGG